rnacentral:rRNA from 1 species
UACAGAGGGUGCGAGCGUUAAUCGGAGUUACUGGGCGUAAAGGGCGCGUAGGCGGUUUAAUGUGUGUGAUGUGAAAGCCCCGGGCUUAACCUGGGAAGUGCAUCGCAAACUAUUGAACUGGAGUAGAUGAGAGGGUGGCGGAAUUUCCGGUGUAGCGGUGAAAUGCGUAGAGAUCGGAAGGAACGUCAAUGGCGAAGGCAGCCACCUGGCAUCAUACUGACGCUGAGGCGCGAAAGCGUGGGGAGCGAACAGG